CUAUCUUAGUGGCGGACGGGUGAGUAACGCGUGGGUAACCUGCCUUGCACUGGGGGAUAACACUUAGAAAUAGGUGCUAAUACCGCAUAACAGUAGGAGACGCAUGUCUUUUACUUGAAAACUCCGGUGGUGUAAGAUGGACCCGCGUCUGAUUAGCUUGUUGGCGGGGUAACGGCCCACCAAGGCAACGAUCAGUAGCCGGCCUGAGAGGGUGAACGGCCACAUUGGGACUGAGACACGGCCCAAACUCCUACGGGAGGCAGCAG
rnacentral:rRNA from 1 species